AACAACUGGCUCUGGUUCGUUCGUGCUCUGUGGCAGGUGUGUUCUUUUGCUCUUUGCAAUACCUGUUUUUGCUGCUCACUCUGGGUCUGUGCUGCCUUUAUGAGCUGUAACAGUCACCGCAAAGGUCUGCAGGUUCACUCAUGAAACUAGGGAGACCACGAGCCCACCGGGAGGAAAGAACAACUCCAGACACGCUGCCUUAAGAGCUGUAACACUCACUGUGAGGGGCUGCAGCUUCAGUCCUCAGCCAGCGACACCACGAACCCACCAGAAGGAAGAAACGCCGAACACAUCCGAACAUCGGAAGGAACAAACUCCAGACAUGCCGCCUUUAAAGAACUGUGACACUCACUGUGAGGGUCCGCGGCUUCAUUCUUGAAGCCAGUGAGACCAAGAACCUACCAAUUCCGGACCCAGCAGGACGGGGAGAUAGUCCACGUGAAACCCAUCUGGUUUUACUAAUUGGCUCUUAUUGACGACUAAAAGGGAGGAAGAAGAGCUUUCUCUGGAAAUGAAAUCAAGCAGCUUUCCUUGUAUUGAAAGGAAAGCGACUGAAGACAGAGUGUUCCAAGAACCAAGAGAUUGAAUAUGGCUGAUGUGUGGAGAGAAGAGAUGGACCAAGAUGAGACUGGAAAGCUGUAGAAGGCUGUUCAGCCAUGCCUAGGAGCAAGCCAACAGUAAGGAAGACGAAUGCUUUCCAUUACAGCUCUCCAAAAAUGGGGAAUGUGAAUCAAGGUACAAAUGUCUAUAUGUCUGUCUUCUAAUGAGGUAACCAGAGCUAACCAGCUCAUAAGUACACCAUCCAUUGUUUUUGAGUGUGUUUUUGUUUGUUCCCCUCACCUCUGCCUCCCAUUUUCUGUUUUACUUUGCCAUCUCCUUUAUUCCUGUUUACUGAGAUCACCUCCAGAAUAAAUUUAUCUUUACCUAAGAGUCUAUCAACAUAUCUGGGGGUAUUUGCUUUAGGGCAACCCAAGUUAAGGCAGAGUAUCAAGCAUAUGAGAAAAAUAGCAUGUGCAAAGACCCUUCCUUGUGAAAGAGAAAGACAUUGCAGCAAGGGUAGUACAGAGAGGAGUAUUUAGAGAUGAGGCAUGAUUUAAAAGGUUCAUGUGUAUUGCAAUACUGAAAUAAGGAUGUUUUCAACCUGUUCUUUAUUUAAUAGAGACGGUAUCAGUUUUUAUGCAGAUGGAGGCAUGAUGUGAUCUGUGUUUUAGAGCAAUUAGAGGAGACAUGAGAGGCAGGGAGACUAGUUGGGAUGCUAUUGCAAGAGUUCAGUCACGAAACAGUAAGGAAGUCAAUCAAGGUAAUGACAGAGAACCACGACUGAAGUGAUAGAGAAAGGUCAUACAAUGCUAUUUCAUAUUGGAUAGAAUUUAUUGACUGCAUAGUUAUAAAAGGUGGAAAGAGAGAGCUGGUAGUGAUUCCAUGGUUUUUGCUUGGAUAACUAGGUGGUUCUGAUUAAGUGAGGGAGGAAAUGCUCAAUGGAAUAAUAUGAUUGUCCAAUGUUAUUAGAGACUGUUUAGUUCUGUGUUUCUUAAACAUUAAUGUGUAGGUAAAUUACCCCCCAGGAUCUUGUUAAAGUGUGAAUUUAGCAGUUGUAGACUGGGACCUGUACUUCAAACAAACCCCUAGAGAUAUGGAUGCUGUUGGUCUGUAGAGCACACAUGUACAAGUUAAAGACCCUGGCUCUGAUUUUCAAAUCCAGUAUUGGCUUGUGCAUUUGCUUAGAACCUCCAGCCCUCUUGAUUUUUUUUCCUUCUAGUUUUAACCUGAAAGCAUCUUUGGUUUAUUUUCCCAUAGUCCAAGCUUCUAAUUACUGCACUAGUCUUUCCAGUAGUAACUUUUCAGUGGUGCAUAUCUCUUUUUUAUUUUUGCUGCCAAUAUUCCAAUCAUCUUUGUCCUGGUAGCCCUAUCCUAACCCUACCUACCUCUGAAAAUUAGUUUAUGUUAACUAUUGGAUUCUCUUUUUUGGCUAUGCCAGUUUGGGAACUUUCCUUUUCCCAAUUUUAUGUCCUUGACACUCCUCAUGGCUGUGCAACUCAUUUCUUAGGUUCACAGUCUCGUUCAAUGUUAGUGCAUUAGUAUAAGCUCCUUACUAUAGUCUUCCUCAUUAUGUUACAUGUUAACUUUUGCCUUAACUUCUCUGACUUCUCUUUAUUCACAGAGAGAAUUUAAAAGAUAUAUGAAAUCUCCAAUUCAAAGAAUAAUUAAAACUUGCCUGUCCAACUUGUUAGAAGACUUUUAUGUCAUAAAGUCUUUUGCUCAUAUGCUUAAAAGGAUUGGGCCAAUCAUAGGAAGCCUAGAACACUAAAUAACUAAAGAAAGGUAGCACACUUUUACAUUUGUUCGUUCUCUUUUGCUAUACUAACUCAACAGGAGUAUAUAUGUGUAUGUGCAAUGAGUUUGGCUUCUCACGAGAAAAAAAAUCUGAGCUUUAUCCAGUCCCUGCUUACCAUAAAUACUAUCUUUGUGUUCCUUUGCUUAAAAUGUUGUGGGGUUUUAUUCAACAUCUGGUUCAGUGGCUCUCAACUGGGAGCAGUAUCCCUUAGUCAGGGAAUGUUUAAAAAACUGUAUGUGCAAAGAGAUUGGGUUGUGACAAUGACUGGUGUGGGGGAUGUCAUUGACAUUUAGAGGAGAAAUUCAGGGAUGUUAAAUAUCGUGGAAUGAGUGUCGUGAUCCUGUCCAUACUUGUAUUUGUUCCUUGUUGAGAAAUACAGAUAGAAUAUUAUUGCAUGGUAUGUAAAUUUGUAUUAUGUGAACUUGAAGAAGAAAAUCACUAUGUCCAUAAAUUAUCUAUUUAGAAGAAUAAUGUAAAACAAUAAAAAUAAUUGAUC